rnacentral:rRNA from 1 species
AUGGCUCAGGACGAACGCUGGCGGCGUGCUUAACACAUGCAAGUCGAACGAGGAACGGAUGGAAGCUUGCUUUAUCCGUUCGAGUGGCGGACGGGUGAGUAACGCGUGAGGAACCUGGCUUUUGCAGGGGGAUAGCGUUUCGAAAGAGACGGUAAUACCGCAUGAGACCACAAUACCGCAUGGUGCAGGGGUCAAAGGAGAGAUCCGGCAGAAGAUGGACUCGCGUCCCAUUAGGCAGUUGGCGGGGUAAAGGCCCACCAAACCGACGAUGGGUAGCCGACCUGAGAGGGUGAUCGGCCACAUUGGAACUGAGAGACGGUCCAAACUCCUACGGGAGGCAGCAGUGGGGAAUAUUGGGCAAUGGGCGAAAGCCUGACCCAGCAACGCCGCGUGAGGGAAGAAGGUUUUCGGAUUGUAAACCUCUGUCCCAGGAGACGAGGAGAAGACGGUAUCCUGGGAGGAAGCCCCGGCUAACUACGUGCCAGCAGCUGC